UCAAAACAGCGGCCUUCGGGCCUCGCUGCACCCUUGUCUUUUGCGCACCGUAUUGUUUCCUCGGCGGGCUAGCCUGCCGGUUGGACAUCAUAAAACCUUUUUGUAGUUGCAAUCAGCGUCAGAAAAACAAUAAUUAUUA
rnacentral:misc_RNA from 1 species